rnacentral:rRNA from 1 species
CAAUAGCGUAUAUUUAAGUUGUUGCAGUUAAAAAGCUCGUAGUUGGAUUUCGGAUGGGAUCUGCCGGUCCGUCUUUGAGACGUGUACUGGUAGGUCCUAUCUUGUUGUCGGGGACCAGCUCCUGGGCUUCACUGUCCGGGACUGGGAGCCGACGAAGUUACUUUGAGUAAAUUAGAGUGUUCAAAGCAAGCCUACGCUCUGAAUAUAUUAGCAUGGAGUAACACGAUAGGACUCUGGCUUAUCUUGUUGGUCUGUGAGACCAGAGUAAUGAUUAAGAGGGACAGUCGGUGGCAUUCGUAUUUCAUUGUCAGAGGUGAAAUUCUUGGAUUUAUGAAAGACGAACUACUGCGAAAGCAUUUGCCAAGGAUGUUUUCAUUAA